GAUCACCGUGGCUGUAGGGGUGCAGUUCAAGCCGAGUGACUGGGUGCAGGUGGGGGAGGGCAGGCAGGCACGACACCAAAAGUUCUUGUGUUGUCCCCCAGAGACAGCGGGGGCACUGCCAUGACACAGGGCAGAGCUUGGGGUCACGUGGUGGUGGCGGCAGGGAGCGCAGCUCUGUCACUUGACCCAGAUGGGCCACUUCUUGAAGUGUCUGAGACUGCGGGGGCACUUUCCGGAGCAGUCAUCAUGGCAAGGUGGAGGACUCUGGAGAGAAGUAUCUUAAAAGAGUACUUCUUUCAAAAGUGAUUCUUUCGGUAAAGAGCUCUUGGCCUUUGUGCCAGUUCCGGGCCUGUCGGGCGUGCUGUUCCUUGCUCUCCUCCUGCUCCGCCCUGUGAUAGACAAGGGCUGCUUCCAGAAGGCUGUUUCCACGCCUCCCAGGUCCACUGACUUCGGACUCAAUGUGGCCAGCGGGAGACACUGUGCAGAAGCUGGAAGACGGGAGGCGGGGGGAACCUGGGGGGGUUCUCCUCCCCACUCUCUGCCUCCGGUGAGGUCUCUGGCAGCAAAAGAGCUUCCUCUGUCACACCAGCUUCCACUGAAGAACACUGGGUUCCAGGGUAGUAAAGAGGAUGUUACAGAAUAGCUGUUUUACAAAGAGACCUUGGGGUGGAAGAAGGUUAUGCAGCGCUGGGUUAGAGGGGCAAGAGGACGAUGCGCACCUCCUGGAAAUCCUCGACCGGAAGUGGAAGUAGGCACUGGUAGCGGCUUCCGUGGCUGUGGUUCUGGUCUUUGUACUCACCCUGGAGGUGACUGGCGAGGAGACGGCCUCACCGG